rnacentral:rRNA from 1 species
UGCCAGCAGCCGCGGUAAUACGGAGGGCGCGAACGUUACUCGGAAUCACUGGGCAUAAAGGGCAUGUAGGCGGCCCGACCAGUCAGGUGUGAAAUCCUUCGGCUCAACCGAAGAACUGCAUUUGAUACUGUCGGGCUCGAGGAUGGUUGGGGUAAGCGGAACUCCUGGUGGAGCGGUGAAAUGCGUAGAUAUCAGGAGGAACACCAGUGGCGAAAGCGGCUUACUGGACCAUUACUGACGCUGAGGUGCGAAAGCUAGGGUAGCGAACGGGAUUAGAUA